rnacentral:rRNA from 1 species
UACGGAGGGUGCGAGCGUUGUCCGGAAUCACUGGGCGUAAAGGGCGCGUAGGCGGCCUGAUAAGUAGGGGGGUGAAAUCCUGCGGCUUAACCGCAGGGCUGCCUUCUAAACUGUCAGGCUGGAGCACAGUAGAGGCAGGUGGAAUUCCCGGUGUAGCGGUGGAAUGCGUAGAGAUCGGGAAGAACAUCAGUGGCGAAGGCGGCCUGCUGGGCUGUGCUGACGCUGAGGCGCGAGCAGCGUGGGAGCAAACAGG